rnacentral:misc_RNA from 1 species
GAGUGGAGUGUUACCGCCGCCAUCCUCAGUUUCCAUUCCACACACUCAUCUGAUCUCGAUGGCGACUGCGGCGACAGCCACCACCACCACCCGCAUCACCGCCGGCGCCUUCCACGGCCUCCACACCCACUCCUCCCGCCUGAGCCUCCGCGCCUUUGCGCCGCGACAAACCACCGCUCCCUCCCACCUCCGCCGCCGCCUUCUUACCUGCCGCGCUCUCCGCCGCCCCGAGGUUUCCGUCAAGGAGGCGGGCCUACCCGAGACGCUCGAUUACCG